rnacentral:lncRNA from 1 species
UUCACUUAGCAUAAAUUGGGUGUACUUAGCAUAAAUUGGGCUUGUGUCAAGCUCGCCUUUCAUGACAAGUGCACCUAGGGUUAGGGUUUUUUGACCUACCUUCUAGAAGGCUUCUCACAAAUGACGUCCCUACCCCUCUCACUCUUGCUCCCCAAGUCACUCUCUCUUAUAUAAAUGGUCCCUUGCCUAAUGUAAUUUACACAUUAUUGAACUUUGAAUAGAAAAGAAACUUUAUCAUAGUGUUUAGUGAACCGAG